rnacentral:rRNA from 1 species
AGUGAACGCUGGCGGUAGGCCUAACACAUGCAAGUCGAACGGCAGCACAGUAAGAGCUUGCUCUUACGGGUGGCGAGUGGCGGACGGGUGAGGAAUACAUCGGAAUCUACUUUUUCGUGGGGGUUAACGUAGGGAAACUUACGCUAAUACCGCAUACGACCUACGGGUGAAAGCAGGGGAUCCUCGGACCUUGCGCGAUUGAAUGAGCCGAUGUCGGAUUAGCUAGUUGGCGGGGUAAAGGCCCACCAAGGCGACGAUCCGUAGCUGGUCUGAGAGGAUGAUCAGCCACACUGGAACUGAGACACGGUCCAGACUCCUACGGGAGGCAGCAGUGGGGAAUAUUGGACAAUGGGCGCAAGCCUGAUCCAGCCAUACCGCGUGGGUGAAGAAGGCCUUCGGGUUGUAAAGCCCUUUUGUUGGGAAAGAAAAGCAGCAGGUUAAUACCCCGCUGUUCUGACGGUACCCAAAGAAUAAGCACCGGCUAACUUCGUG